AAAUUAAUUGAACGUCAAAAACUCCAACAAAAGGAAAUGUUCAAUCAUGAACCAUAGCAUGCAUAUUAUUUCAAAUAAAAGUCCACUCACAAAUUAGGCCUAAGCCUGAUGUCGAUCUGGGGUCUCGUCUGCUCGAGCCUCCUCACGUCCUGUCCAAAUAUAAUAUUAAUUCCCAACCAAAUAAUCCAAUAUUUAAUCAAAAUAGGCAAAAUUACCCGAGAGCCAUAAUUACGCUCAUCAUUGCCUAACUUCGAUAUUCUUACAUCGGAACGAUCCGAACUUAAAUAUCAUAUUCAACAGUCGUAAAUACAACCUCUCCAAAAUACGACUUAAAUCCUACGGCCGGAUUCUACAUUAAUUACCCGCCAAAAAUACCACACUUCGGAAAUUCACAAACCUAUCCAAAUCUCAUCCAAAAAUUCCAAAAUUCAUCUCAACAAUAUCCCCUUAAUAUUCUACAUCAAAAACCAGACAAUUUCCCAAAACAGCAGCGGCGGCCGGCGACCAACUCCGGCGACCUGCAAAUGCUACCAAAUUUUAACAGAAUCUUCCUCUCAAUCUCCUCUACAACUUUCAUGACUAACACAUCACCCAAUUCCAAGCCUAACUAGGCUAAUCGAACGAAAACAACUUAAACACCAUAAAACUUCCACCUCAAAUUUCUCCUUACCUAGCUCAAGAGGGAGGGAGCUGCUUGGAGGGGUUGUUGCACGGGAGGAGGGCUACAAAACCGUACCAAGCUUGCCCGGAUUGGUGGCCGGAGGAGGAAGUUCCGGCGAAGUGAAGCUUUGGACAGUCAGACCUUUCGGGUGGCACCGCUCUCUCACGGCGGAGCUAGGGCUCCUCUCACCGGUCCAAGGAGGUUGCUGGGUUGGAGGUCGACCGAACGGGACCGGUGCGGCGGCGGUUGGUGGCCGGACGGCGGCCGGAAACUCUUCUGCAUGUAGAGAGGGGAAAACCGGGUGAGAAGAGAGAAAAUCGGGAGGGAGAGAGAAAAAGAAAAGAAGAAGAAAUGGGUUGGGCUCGGCCCAGCCGACCCAACACUCCUUUUAACCCAAAAUUCCAAAAUUCAACACCCCGAAAUAAUACCCCAAUAAAAUUACCUUUUACUAACAAAAAUUACUAUUUUUUUACCGUCGUCAAAAAUUCUUCCUUAGAAUAAUUCCCUCAAAAUAUUAGUCCCUCAACACCCUCUGGGAACUAAUUAAAUUACACACUUAGUGACGAACACGGUAAAAACUCUUGUUAUCACUAUGCCAGUAAUAAAGGUAAAAAAUUAAGAUUCGGGGCGUGACACAAACUUUAUCCAUAUUUUACUUAUGUGAUCACAUCGUACGGUCAAAUUUUGCAAAUUUUAUUUCCUUCAUAUAAUUGGUUUAUAAAGAUAUACGUUUAAAUAUAACCUAGUAAACAUGGUGUAGCACAUUAGUAGCAUGUUGUGGUUCAAAUGACUAAUUUUAAGAAAAAUUAAAGUUGAGUUCUAG
rnacentral:lncRNA from 1 species